UACGUAGGGCGCGAGCGUUGUCCGGAAUUAUUGGGCGUAAAGGGCUCGUAGGCGGUUUGUCGCGUCGGGAGUGAAAACACCGGGCUUAACUCGGUGCUUGCUUUCGAUACGGGCAGACUGGAGGUAUGCAGGGGAGAACGGAAUUCCUGGUGUAGCGGUGAAAUGCGUAGAUAUCGAGAGGAACACCUGCGGCGAAGGCGGGUUGCUGGGCUGACACUGACGCUGAAGCGCGAAAGCUAGGGGAGCGAACGGG
rnacentral:rRNA from 1 species